CACCUCUGGUGUACCGGUUGUGGCGCCAGCCGCACCGCCGGGUAGCUAAGUGCGGACGGGAUAACCGCUGAAAGCAUCUAAGCGGGAAGCCUUCCUCAAAACCAGGUCUCGCCGAGAGCCGUGGUAGACCACCACGUCGAUAGGCCGGAGGUGGAAGCGGAGUAAUCCGCGCAGCUGACCGGUACUAAUCGCUCGAUUGGCUUGAGCGU
rnacentral:rRNA from 1 species